rnacentral:rRNA from 1 species
GUGACCUCGGAUCGGGUAGGUUAUAAAUGUGC